GUUUAGUUGAACCUAAGCAGGUGUUUAAUCGACUCUUUCGGGGUUGCGGUUGGAGUAAGUUUCAGGUUUGGAAUGGACUGAAGGACUAAAGUGCAUUAGGAAAGACAUGGAUUCGGACCCAGAAAAACAGACCACGAACCCGGACCAUGAAAAACAGAACUGUUUCCCACUUUCCCUUUCUCUAAAUUAAGUAGAUGGAUUUGAAGAUGAUUUUGCUGUGACCUGGAGCAAUCUCAGUGAGCGCAGCAGCAGCGAGACUCUGCCCCUGGCUCUUCCACACCCCUGGCGGCAGAGAUAUCAUCCAGACUUCAGAUGCAGAUGCGAACACAGUGUUAUGCGACGGAUGUUAAUAAACACAUGGAAGUGUUUGGCUUAUCUGUUAGAGAAUAUACUUUAGACGCCACAACUUGUGUUUCCAAAAUAAAUUUUUAAAAAUGCG